UCAGGAUGAACGCUGGCGGCGUGCUUAACACAUGCAAGUCGAACGAAGCACCUCUAAUCGAAGAUUGAGAAAGCUUGCUUUGAUUGAUUCACCUUGAGGUGACUGAGUGGCGGACGGGUGAGUAACGCGUGGGUAACCUACCCUAUACAGGGGGAUAACAGUUGGAAACGACUGCUAAUACCGCAUAAGCGCACAGGACCGCAUGGUCUAGUGUGAAAAAACUCCGGUGGUAUAGGAUGGACCCGCGUCUGAUUAGCUAGUUGGUGAGGUAACGGCUCACCAAGGCGACGAUCAGUAGCCGACCUGAGAGGGUGACCGGCCACAUUGGGACUGAGACACGGCCCAAACUCCUACGGGAGGCAGCAGUGGGGAAUAUUGCACAAUGGGCGAAAGCCUGAUGCAGCGACGCCGCGUGAACGAAGAAGUAUUUCGGUAUGUAAAGUUCUAUCAGCAGGGAAGAAAAAUGACGGUACCUGACUAAGAAGCUCCGGCUAAAUACGUGCCAGCAGCGGC
rnacentral:rRNA from 1 species